GGAUGUACUAUUUAGUGUAAAGGUGUAGCUUGACAUAAUGUGAGUGGGUGUGCAUGUUAAUAUUAGGCCAAGUCUGCACAGAUCAGUUUCAUGUGUUCUUUGUGUGUUGAUGUGUGUGUCUGUGUGUGUCCAUAUAAAUUGCGCUCAUGUAGCUGUAUUUGUUAGAAUACGAUAAAGACUAAUACAGGUGUACAAUACACAUGAACACAUGAAUAUACACACGCGAACAAGCAGACACAUGAACACACGCACACGAGGACACAAGUCUAUGUCCGUUCCUCAUCACCUGUCUCUCUCCCUGUUCUCAGAGAACAUCCUACUGACUGAGCCUGAGGCGGGCUUCGCUCUGAGCUGCACAGACAACGAUGAGGAUGAGUUCGGCAGCCUGUGGUCCACCACCUCCUCUUUUAUCAUCCUCUUCCUUCUUUCCCUCACCUACAGCACAGUACUCAGCCUGGUCAAGAUGAAGCAGUGAAGAACACAUGAUGGACUGCAGAGAUAGAUGUGUCUUGAUUAGAAAGAUAAUGGUCUGUGAUGGUUAUGGCGUACAGUAGUGUUCUUCAGUAAUAAUGUUAUGUAUAUAUCCAAUACAUUAUUGAUUAUGAUUGAUUAGUAUUGUUUUUCUCACUAUUAUACAUUCAUUGUAGUGAUAUGUUAUUUUUCAUUAAUUGAUUUCUAUUGUACAGUAUCUUUAAAUAUAAAGUGUAUCCUGUGAAGUCUGUGUCCUUUUUUACUUUAAUAAAAUCUAACUUUUAGCUAGUCGUUGUCAUUUUGCUGACACAUCCACUGGAUGCUAAUGCUGGGAGAAGGACACAUCCUAUAUUGUGUUUGGGGCGGCAGGUAGCCUAGUGGUUAGAGCGUUGGGCCAGUAACGUUUGUUCUUGUCACGUCCUGACCAGUAUAAGGGGUUAUUUGUUAUUGUAGUUUGGUCAGGACGUGGCAGUGUUUGUUUAGAGUGUUUCGGGGUUUGAUGGGCUAUGUUCUGUUUUAAGAGGGGUGUUUGUUUAGAGUGUUUCUGGGUUUGUUGGGCUAUGUUCUUGUUAGUCUAUUUCUAUGUUAGUUCUAGUAUAUCUAUUU
rnacentral:lncRNA from 1 species